UCUUUCUAGCUCGCUCACUCACUCUAUUUCUGGCUCUCUGUAACUGUCUGUCUCUCUCUCUCUCUCUCUAGCUGCCUGUACGUUAAUCGGCGUAAGUGUGUGAGUGUGUGUUCUUGAACUGUCUGUGUUAGUGCGUGUUUCACAAAUCACACGAAAAACGAAAAUGAAAUGAAAUGCUCCUCAAACCGAGUGUGUUGUGUUUUCUUUCAAUAAAUUCAUCGUCACAUUUAUUGUUCGCUUUCGUUUGUUCAAGCCUUGUCUUACGAUGUUUAUUAUUCAACUAUUUUUUCACAAUUUCACAAAAUUUUUAUGCGAUUUACACAACCGUAGAAAGUUAAUUGUCAUACGUUUGACAUUUGUUGACACUUCCAGCGCACUUCAACAAACAAACAAAAAAAAACAAAAAAAAGCAAGAAAUAACAGUGUUGUAAAACAAAUGAAAAUAAAUACUAGGACUUCAACUGGCAAUCGAAUUUGAAAAUAAAUUCAUUUCAGCUUCUCUUAUCUGAUUGGCCAGCUCAAUUGAAGCCGUCUUCAGUUGCCAAGAAACGAGAGCAAAUAUUAACACGAAUAUUUUGUUGCUAGCUUAUGGACCUCACUGGACAUCCUCCUGCAAGAGCUUUUGGCAAUUGCCAUUCAAGCCUGACAAGCCUUCAAAUUGAUUUGCAUAGUGAUAGGCAGUGAAAUAUAAUAAUGACAAGACAAUCGGAAAUACAAUGAAAGCCGUUUAGAUUAUCAGCUGAAAAGUGUCCCACACACUCGAUUGUCGAUCGGUGAAUGUCGCCGACUCACUCUCUUCUUGCCUCUUCUUCCAUCACUCUCUCUCUCGCUCACUCUUUUUCGUGGACUUCCAAUUUUGGUCAAUGCGGCUGACAACAUCGCACAUUGUGAGCCGUGCGACAGCCAUUGGCGUCCAUCAGUCGGGCAGUUGCCAAUCAAACAAAAGUCACAGGCAAUGGACAACUGUGGCAGCAGCAGCAGCAGGAGAAGGAGCAGCAGGAGGAGUAUCAUCAACAACAACAACAACAACUGCAUAACGAUAUGCAAAAUAUGCAACAGUCUGGCAGCUUCUGUGCUGAUGCAGCAGGAGCAGCAGCUGCAGCAGCACUCGACUCCUGCUUGUUGUCUGAGACGUUCGCCUGUCGCUUUGCGCCCAAUUACGCCUUCAAAUUGAGUGAUAAAUGUCUUAAGGAUGGCACAUAAAUAAGCUGCAGUUAAAUUUAUUACACAACCCACACAAAGACUUCAUAAAAAUGCAAACUAAAUGAACUAUUAAGAGGCGGCGGCAAACAUGAGAAGCAAAUAAGAAACCCAGAAACCAAAGCCAAUAAACAAACCGACAGCCGAAAAACAGAAAGAAAAAAAAAAAAAAAAAACUCUGCAAACGAAAUUCAAGAUCAGACAAUUGAAUUGCAUUGCGCUUAAGCAAAUAAAUAAAAAGCGCGAGAGCAGAGAGAGAAAAAAAAAUAUAAGGGACAACAAACAAGUUACGAGUGCUGUGUGGCAAAGGGGGCGUGGCAUGGGGAAGCCAGCAACAGCAGCAGCAGCAGCCACAGUCACAGCAGCCGUGUGAGAAAAUAUGCAAAUAAAUGCGCAAAUAAAAUGUGCAAUCAACUGGAGAUGGCGCACUGAGAUCUGGCAACUGGCAACUGGCAACUGUGGCAACUGUGGCAACUGUGGCAACUGGCGACUUGCAACACGCAGCCAACCUUCCCCAACGUUACCUAUUCCCCUUUCCAGCGAAAUCCAAAGUGUGAAUGUUGCGCAUGCGCAGCGACCGCGUGGAGAACACUGCGCAUCAAUUAGGCCGCCAGGCGGCCAGGAACAGCAGCACGAAUUGUCCAGAGAGUGCGCGAUAAGCCAAAGGCUUGGACACGAAGAAGCAGAAGCCACACACACACACAAACAGACAAACACACACACAGUUGCAUUCACAUAUACAAAACGUUUAGAUAAACAAAUACAGAAGAAUGCUGAAAUGAUGUUAAAAGCUACAAAAUGAAGUGGAAGCUGGCGGCCCUCGAAAUAGGAUUUAGUUAAAGGGGCAUCUCGGCGGAUUGGCGGCUUGAGCUGGAUUCGCCGUGGACCCAAGCUGGCUGCAGCUACAAAUUCAAUGAACAUGCGCGCGCACAGUUGAAGAGCAAACAAAUUUAUUACGCGCCGUUUGAACAGCGCAUAAAUUUAACAGCAGCAGCAGCAGCAGCAGCAGCAACAACAGUCGCAGUUGCAGUCGCAGUCACAGUCGCAGCUGCAGUCGCAGUUGCAGUCACAGUCAGAGAGGCAGCCAAGAUUAACAUACCUGGGCUAAAGCGACUGUCCGACCGACUGGGCCCAAUCGAUCGCUGUGGCUUGCGUGCAGCGUGCGUGAUUUAAAAACAGCGCCACAUUUGGCGAACAUUUACGUGGACUUGUCCCAAAACUACGUAAAACGAUUUAAAGCCGAACACGAGCAAUUUGUGGAUAGGCUGCAGGCAGUCAACUGAGGAGAGGGGGCGAGCAGCGCUAAGCCGAAGACCAAAUGCUCUUGGAGCUAUAUAAAUGGUGAAUAGAUUUAUAAAGAAUUGUUGUCGCUUAAAAUUCGAACAAAAAUAUUAUAUGAGGGCAUGGAUUGACGGAUAGAACGACUGAUAGACAGGGAGUGUCAUACAAAAAAAAAAGAGAAAGCGAUCUUGAAACUGUUCAGUUUAAUUGGGAAAUCUUUCUGGAAAACUGAAAAAAAUCAUAUGACGAUGAUCAUUAUUAUUAUAAGCAAAUCAUGUCAUAUAUCUAUAUAUCCCUAUCUCUAGGUAGGGCUCGAUUAGAAUAUAACUAUAUCCCCAUCUCAAGGAAGAGUAAGAUUAGAAUAUACAUUCAAAGAAAGAUAUCAUAGAGAAUUCAUAUCAUAUCAUAAUCUUAUGCUUUAGGAAAAAAAAAAAACUUUUCAAAGAAAAACUCAUUUUAUCAAUUUUAUCAAUUGUAUCUUUGGAGAACUGUAAAAUAAAUGUUGGUAGAGUUUCAGAUUCAACUUAGGCUGAGAACCAACUCUUAACUGAA